ACGGGAGGCAGCAGUGGGGAAUAUUGCACAAUGGGCGGAAGCCUGAUGCAGCAACGCCGCGUGAGGGAUGACGGCCUUCGGGUUGUAAACCUCUUUUAGCAGGGAAGAAGCGAAAGUGACGGUACCUGCAGAAAAAGCGCCGGCUAACUACGUGCCAGCAGCCGCGGUAAUACGUAGGGCGCAAGCGUUAUCCGGAAUUAUUGGGCGUAAAGAGCUCGUAGGCGGUUUGUCGCGUCUGCUGUGAAAUCCCGAGGCUCAACCUCGGGCCUGCAGUGGGUACGGGCAGACUAGAGUGCGGUAGGGGAGAUUGGAAUUCCUGGUGUAGCGGUGGAAUGCGCAGAUAUCAGGAGGAACACCGAUGGCGAAGGCAGAUCUCUGGGCCGUAACUGACGCUGAGGAGCGAAAGGGUGGGGAGCAAACAGGAUUAGAUACCCUGGUA
rnacentral:rRNA from 1 species